UGGUGGUGGAGCCAGAUAUGGCCGACGAUGAGGUUCAAACGGUGAGGAAUUAGAAAAAAAUUGAAAAACAGGGGACUGCCCCCUCUCCUUGAAUUUUCUCUGAUCAUUGGCCGAUCAUCGGUGGCUAUGACCUUCGAAGAAGAAAGUUAAAGAGGUGGGGGUUAUGACUCAUGGGUGUGGCACCAUGGGCGGCAAUGCUGGUGGCCGAAAA
rnacentral:lncRNA from 1 species